AAAAUGCGAUAAGUAGUGUGAAUUGCAGAAUUCAGUGAAUCAUCGAAUCUUUGAACGCACAUUGCGCCCGCCAGUAUUCUGGCGGGCAUGCCUGUUCGAGCGUCAUUUCAACCCUCAAGCCCCCGGGUUUGGUGUUGGGGAUCGGGCUGCGGUUCUACCGCGUCCCGGCCCCGAAAUCUAGUGGCGGUCUCGCUGCAGCCUCCAUUGCGUAGUAGCUAACACCUCGCAACUGGAACGCGGCGCGGCCAAGCCGUUAAACCCCCAACUUCUGAAUGUUGACCUCGGAUCAGGUAGGAAUACCCGCUGAACUUAAGC
rnacentral:misc_RNA from 1 species